UUUCAUUAGUAUCCCAUGUGCCUCCUCCACCAAAGUUCAAGAAUCCGGGCAGUUUUGCAAAACCAUGCCCAAUUGGCAGUCAUGUCGUAGGCAAAGCUCUUUGUGACAUAAGAGCUAGUACAACUGUGGGGUCAUGGUGGGUUGAAAAGGAGAAGAUAGAGGAAGAGCCCAUUGUGUUUGACAAGCUUCCAUGCCCCAAUCUGAUCAUAGACAUAAUGGAGAAAACACCUAGUUGUUGGACG
rnacentral:lncRNA from 1 species